rnacentral:piRNA from 1 species
AUUAGAUCUUUGGCUGCAGGCAGCAAAAAC